rnacentral:lncRNA from 1 species
AGCAUUAGGGUCCAUGUGACUAGGGAAAGCAUUAGGCAUGUGACUGGAGAAAGCAUUAGGGUCAUUAGGGUCCAUGUGACUAGGGAAAGCAUUAGGGUCCAUGUGACGAGGGAAAGCAUUAGGGUCAUUAGGGUCCAUGUGACUAGGGAAAGCAUGAGCGUCCAUGUGACUAGGAAAGCAUUAGGGUCCAUGUGACUAGGGAAAAGCAUUAGGGUCCAUGUGACUAGGGAAAGCAGUAGGGUCCAUGUGACUAAGGAAAGCAUUAGGGUCCAUGUGACUAGGGAAAGCAUAGGGCCCAUGUGACUGGAGAAGCAUUAGGGUCCAUGGUGACGAUGGGAAAGCAUUAGGGUCCAUGGGACUAGGGAAAGCAUUAGGGGCCAUGUGACUAGGGAAAGCAUUAGGGUCUGAUAGGAAAGCAUAGGGUCACAUGUGACAGGGAAACUUAGGUCCAUGUGGCUAGGGAAAGCAUUAGGGUCAUUAGGGUCCAUGUGACUAGGAAAGCAUGGGUCCAUGGCUAGGGAAACAUAGGGUCCAUGUGACUAGGGAAAGCAUUAGGGUCCAUGUGACUAGGGAAAGCAUUAGGGUCCAUGUGACUAGGGAAAGCAUUAGGGUCCAUGUGACUAGGGAAAGCAUUAGGGUCCAUGUGACGAGGGAAAGCAUUAGGGUCAUUAGGGUCCAUGUGGACUAGGGAAAGCAUUAGG